rnacentral:lncRNA from 1 species
AUUGGUAUCACGUUGGCGUCGGCGUUGUCGUCCGAAGACAUUUGGUUUUUGCACUCUAACUUUAGUAAAAGUAAAUAGAAAUCUAUGAAAUUGAAACACAAGGUUUAUUACCAUAAAAGGAAGGUUGGGAUUGAUUUUGGGUGUUUUGGUCCCAACUGUUUAGGAAUUAUGGGCCAAAAAGGGCCCAAAUAAGCAUUUUUCUUGGUUUUCGCACAAUAACUUUAGUAUAAGUGAACAGAAAUCUAUGAAAUUUUAACAUAAGGUCUAUGACCACAAAAGGAAGGUUGGGAUUGAUUUUGGGAGUUUUAGUCUCAACAGUUUAGGAAUAAGGGGCCAAAAACAUUUCCCAAAUAAGCAUUUUUCUUGGUUUUUGCACAAUAACUUUAGUAUAAGUUAAUAGAAAUCUAUGAAAUUUUAACACAAGGUUUAUUACCACAAAAGGAAGGUUUGGAUUGAUUUUGGGA